GUCGCUACCGCUGCGGCCCAGGGCCCGCGGGAGCCCAGGGCGGUGCCGUGUGAGACAAGGCCGGGGUUUGGCUCGGAUUCACCGCGAGGUAUCUAGGCUGCUAUGAUGCCAGGGCCAAGACCUCGGAAGGGCCCUCAGGCCAGAGGCCAAGGGGUGGCCGCUGCCAAGCAGAUGGGGCUCUUUAUGGAGUUUGGCCCUGAGGACAUGCUGCUGGGCAUGGAUGAGGCUGAAGAUGAUGAGGACCUGGAGGCUGAGCUGCUGGCUCUCACAGGGGAAGCACAAACCACAGGCAAGAAGCCAGCACCCAAGGGGCAGGCCCCCCUGCCCAUGGCCCACAUCGAGAAGUUGGCGGCAGACUGUAUGCGGGAUGUGGAGGAGGAGGAGGAGGAAGGGCUGGAGGAAGAUGCAGAGCUGCUGGUGUGUCUGCCAGGCUGGUAUCCCAGGGCUCUGAGACGGAGCUGCAGGAGGUCUUAGGUGUGGACGAGGAGACUGAGCCCCUGGAUGAUGAUGAGGUAGCUGACCCAGGCGGCUCUGAGGAGGAGAACGGCCUAGAAGACACUGAACCUCCAGUGCAGACAGCCAUCCUGACAGCUUCAGCCCCAGCAGCUCAGGUGGGUUCUGGAGGAGGGCCCCUGUGCCUCUGAUGCUCCUGUGUGCCCAGACAUAACACGUGUGUGGCCUGGCCUGCACAGCAAGGCUGCAGUCACCCUUUCCAGGACCCUCCUACAGCAGCCGCCCCAAGCAGAAACUGAGCACAAGAAACUCCUCCGUGGCCGCCAGCCUCAAAGGCCUGUCUGUUCUCCCAGACCACCCCCGGGAGACACUUCCUGGCUUCCACCAAUUGGCCCUCUGUAUUUGCCUCUGCCAUGGCCUCUGGCCUCUCAAGUGAGCCUUUGCUUCCUGCCUUAAGGCUUUUAGGCUCUUCUUUCUCCUGGAGUCCCAGAGCUCCAUCUUCUAGGGCAGCUUCCGCAGAGGGAGAAUGGUAGGCCUAGCAGGCCCUGGAGUGGCCAGGCCCUUAGCUGAAUUGUUCAUAGGCCGGAGCAUCUCAGGGGCUACACGCUUUGCUGGAGGAACGGAUCCACAACUACAGAGAGGCUGCGGCCAGUGCCAAGGAGGCAGGCGAAGCAGCCAAAGCCAGGCGCUGCGAGCGUGGCCUGAAGACCUUGGAGUCGCAGCUAGCCUCUGUGAGGAGAGGCAGAAAGAUCAAUGAGGAUGAGAUCCCACCUCCAGUGGCCUUAGGAAAGCGGCCCCUGGCCCCCCAGGAACCAGCCAACAGGAGCCCUGAGGCAGACCCUCCAGCUCCCCCUGCCUUGGAGUCAGACAACCCCUCCCAACCUGAGACCAGCCUCCCUGGCGUUUCUGCCCAGCCCGUUUCAGACUCAGACCCAGACCCGCGGGCCCUGCUGUCAUCCCGACAGAGAGAGUACAAAGCGGCUGCCCUCAGUGCCAAGCGGGCUGGAGAGCUAGACCGUGCCCGAGAGCUCAUGAGGAUUGGGAAGAGAUUUGGUGCUGUCCUGGAGGCCCUGGAGAAGGGGCAGCCUGUGGAUCUGAGUGCCAUGCCCCCGGCACCUGAGGAUCUGAAGCCCCGGCAGGCUUCUCAGGCCGCCACAGCACCCUCAGUCAUUCCCCCAGCCGUGGAGCGAAUGCAGCCAGUGAUGGCCCCUGAAGUCCCAGCAACCCCAGUGGCCCCUACAGAGUCACAGACAGUGCUGGAUGCCCUGCAGCAGAGGCUGAACAAGUACCGUGAGGCGGGCAUCCAGGCCCGGAGUGGUGGGGACGAGCGCAAGGCUCGGAUGCAUGAGCGCAUUGCCAAGCAAUAUCAAGAUGCUAUUCGAGCACACCGAGCAGGACGCAAAGUCAACUUUGCUGAGUUGCCUGUUCCUCCGGGAUUUCCCCCCAUCCCUGGCCUGGAGCCCACUAUGGGUGUUGAGGAGGACGCAGUGGCAGCGACAUUGGCAGCUGCAGAGAAACUGGCUUCCGCAGAGGAUACAGCCCCAGCUCAUGAAGACGAGGACGAGGUUUGGUUGAGGGCUCAGCUCCAGGGCUGGUGGGGAGAAUAGCAGGUGGAGGGUAAACCCAGACCCUGUUGUCCAUAUUAACAAGCCCAAUAAGGUACAUAUUCUUUCCUCCACUGUACAGAGAAAAAACUUGCCCAAGGACACCCAGCUAGGAAAUAGCAGAGCUAGGAUUCAAAUCAAGGUCUUUCUGAACCCAGAGCCCCGGCUCUAUCCCCAUUACCCUGUAGUCUCUCUCCUGUUGGAGAGGUUAGAUGUGAAAGCUUCUGAGGCUGUUUCUAGCUCUCAGAUCUUUUAGGGCCCAGGAAGAGAAGCCACCCAUCUCAGGUCACAUAGCGAUUUAGUACAGCGUUAGGAAGACAGCCCAAGUCUGGGAGCCGCCAUGGCCAUGCUGGGGAACACAUCCCCUCCUAACAGCCUCCUGGGCACCUGCAGGGUGAGCCCCCAGCACAGGCCCCAGUGGCCAAGAAACCUGCACGGCCUACAGUCCCUUCAUCCCAGCGCCUGCCUGAGCCCAGGGCCUCAAGUUCUAAGGAGUCACCGAGUCCAUCUGUGCGGGAGCAGCUGGCACUGCUGGAGGCACGGAAACUGCAGUACCAACGGGCAGCCCUGCAGGCCAAGCGCAGCCAGGACCUGGAGCAGGCCAAAGCCCAUCUGCGGGUGGCCAAAUGUCUUGAGGCUCAGAUCAUCCAGGCCCGAUCUGGCAGACCUGUUGAUCUGUCCAAGGUGCCUUCACCCUUGACGGAUGAGGAGGGUGACUUCAUCCUCAUCCACCACGAGGACCUGCGACUCUCCCAGAAGGCGGAAGAGGUGUAUGCCCAGCUGCAAAAAAUGCUUCUGGAGCAACAAGAGAAGUGUCUGCUGUUCUCCAAGCAGUUCAUGCACCAGGGCAACGUGGCUGAGACCACCCGGUAAGUGCAAGGGCUGGGACUGGGCUCAUGGGGUGGGGAGAAAAUCCACCGUCAUGCUGACAUACCCAUCCCUGUCAGAUUUGAGAAGCUUGCUCAGGACUGCAAGAAACAGCUGGAGAUCCUGCAGCUGGCCCAGGCUCAGGGCCUCGACCCUCCCAGCCACCACUUUGAGUUGAAGACAUUCCAGACCGUGAGGAUCUUCUCAGAACUCAACAGCACAGAAAUGCAUCUGAUCAUUGUCCGGGGAAUGAACCUCCCAGCCCCUCCAGGGGUGACUCCCGAUGACCUGGAUGCUUUUGUGCGGUUUGAGUUUCACUACCCUAACUCGGACCAGGCUCAAAAAAGCAAAACAGCUGUGGUGAAGAACACAAACUCUCCAGAAUUUGAUCAACUCUUCAAACUAAACAUCAACCGAAACCACCGGGGCUUCAAGAGGGUGAUCCAGAGCAAAGGCAUCAAGUUUGAGAUCUUCCACAAAGGGUCCUUCUUCAGAAGCGACAAGCUGGUUGGCACAGCACACCUGAAACUGGAGCGGCUGGAGAAUGAGUGUGAGAUCAGAGAAAUUGUGGAGGGAGAGGUUCAGAAGGUCAGAGAAAUCUCAUAGAGGGACCCAGGAGAAGGCAGCCUCCUUGUUUCCAUGAACUCAAUGGAUUCCACAGGUCCUGGAUGGAAGGAAGCCCACCGGGGGGAAGCUGGAGGUGAAGGUGAGGCUGCGGGAGCCUCUGAGUGGCCAGGAUGUGCAGAUGGUCACUGAGAACUGGCUGGUUCUGGAGCCCAGGGGCUUGUGAGCCGAUGGCCAGCACCAGGAGAGGAGUCAGGCCGCGACUGUGCAGGAGUUGACUUUCCCAGCUUUGCUGGCUUCAGAAGCCUUUGUACAUAAGAGAGAUGCUGCUACCCAAGUACCAAAGACCUGUUAAGCAUGUGCACUACUGACCAUGACCCUGGUCUUUCCUGUUGGCCCCUCUGGGGCCUCUACAGAAACAGGCUGGGUUCCAGGAGCCCACCUCCCCGCUGUCUCCCCCUGCCCCUAGUCUGGAAGAGGGCAAGGACACCUUCGUUCCUCUGUACCAUGGAGUCCUGCAGCCCCUUAACCCCUGCGUGGCAACUCUGUACAGCUUACACUUGCCUCCAGUUGCACCACUUCUAGAUGUGCCUUUAAAAGAUGUAACUAUGGGAUGGGAGAACUUGAGGGUGAUCGGGAACCUCCCCUGCUGAGGGUGGGGUCAGGGUUCCGUGACUCCAGUGGGCCAGUGGUAGCCUGUCCCAGACAACUCCGUCACCCCAGCUCUGCCCGUGCCUUUAUCCCUGACAGCUGCUGCACUAAGCCUUCCUGCUUCCCUAAGGACUUAGUGGAGGGGGAAAGUUGUUUUUGGUACUACUUGGUAGGAAGUAAGGGGAAGGUUGGAUCUUGGGUUUGGUCCACCCACCCAAGAAAAAAGAAAGACUGUUAACUGGAAGAAAAAAUAUAUAUAUAAAAUUUUAUGUA
rnacentral:sRNA from 1 species